rnacentral:rRNA from 1 species
AGUGAACGCUGGCGGUAGGCCUAACACAUGCAAGUCGAACGGCAGCACAGUAAGAGCUUGCUCUUACGGGUGGCGAGUGGCGGACGGGUGAGGAAUACAUCGGAAUCUACUUUUUCGUGGGGGAUAACGUAGGGAAACUUACGCUAAUACCGCAUACGACCUACGGGUGAAAGCAGGGGAUCUUCGGACCUUGCGCGAUUGAAUGAGCCGAUGUCGGAUUAGCUAGUUGGCGGGGUAAAGGCCCACCAAGGCGACGAUCCGUAGCUGGUCUGAGAGGAUGAUCAGCCACACUGGAACUGAGACACGGUCCAGACUCCUACGGGAGGCAGCAGUGGGGAAUAUUGGACAAUGGGCGCAAGCCUGAUCCAGCCAUACUGCGUGGGUGAAGAAGGCCUUCGGGUUGUAAAGCCCUUUUGUUGGUAAAGAAAAGCAGCAGGUUAAUACCCCGCUGUUCUGACGGUACCCAAAGAAUAAGCACCGGCUAACUUCGUG